AAUACAUUAGGACCGUCGGUCUACCGAGCAAUAUCACCCGCUCGGUAGAAGAUCUUCCUUUCGUCAU
rnacentral:pre_miRNA from 1 species